ACACGUGGAGAACUUGCCCUACGCUGGAGGAUAACGUCGGGAAACUGACGAUAAUACUCCAUAGCCUAUCCGUCCUGGAACGGUGGAUAGGUGAAAGCUCCGGCGGCGUAGGAUAGCUCUGCGGCCUAUCAGGUUGUAGCGAGGGUAACGUCCUCGCUAGCCUACGACGGGUAUGGGUGUUGGGAGACAUCGCCCAGAGAUGGAUUCUGAGACACGAAUCCAGGCCCUACGGGGCGCAGCAGGCGCGAAAACUGCACAAUGUGGGAAACCACGAUGCGGGAAACCCAAGUGCCAGCGCUAUGCGUUGGCUGUCCUCCAGUGUUCGUAACUGGGGAAGAAAGUGCUGGGUAAGACGGGUGCCAGCCGCCGCGGUAAUACCCGCAGCACAAGUGGUGGUCAUUAUUAUUGGGCCUAAAGCGUCCGUAGCUGGCUUGUUAGAUGCCUGGGUAAAUCGAUGCGCUCAACGUAUCGAACUCCGGGUAGACCGGCAAGCUUGGGACCGGGAGAGGUGUAGGCUACUCGAGGGGUAG
rnacentral:rRNA from 1 species